GCGGGGAAUAUUGCGCAAUGGGCGAAAGCCUGACGCAGCAACGCCGCGUGAGGGAUGAAGGCUCUCGGGUUGUAAACCUCUUUCAGCAGGGACGAUUGUGACGGUACCUGCAGAAGAAGCCCCGGCCAACUACGUGCCAGCAGCCGCGGUAACACGUAGGGGGCAAGCGUUGUCCGGAUUUAUUGGGCGUAAAGAGCUCGUAGGCGGUUUGAUAAGUCGGGUGUGAAAACUCUGGGCUCAACUCAGAGACGCCACCCGAUACUGUCAUGACUAGAGUCCGGUAGGGGAGUAUGGAAUUUCCGGUGUAGCGGUGAAAUGCGCAGAUAUCGGAAGGAACACCAGUAGCGAAGGCGGUACUCUGGGCCGGAACUGACGCUGAGGAGCGAAAGCGUGGGGAGCGAACAGGAUUAGAAACCCGGGUAGUCC
rnacentral:rRNA from 1 species